UCAUCCUCAUCGUCGAGUGAAUCUUUUCGUUCUGCAAAAGCACGAGGGAUACGAGCCACAAUUUUAGGAAUUUCAUAAAAAGUGCCUUUUGAAUCGUAUACACCCUUACUAAUAUCGUUUUCUGGAAUCGUCAAAUCCGCCGCCAAUGCCAUUUCGGUAGCCGCUUCAGCAUUUCCUUCGUACAAUAAAGUCACUACUUUGUGCAAAACAUCCCAUAUUUCUUUUGAGCCACCAUAAGCCCAGCAGGUUUCCCAAAACUCAUUUCGACGUACCUCGACUUCUUCUUUUGUCAGCAGAGGAUUGGGUGUGUACAGUUUGGGCAAUCGCAAAAUAUUGCUACCAGAUGGCUGCUCACCGCCAUUAUUUGCAACUCCUGCAACCUGAUUUCCGGAGAGACAUUGACCCAUCCUGUUUUACUUGAAUAACGUUUCUCCCUUGAUUUCUCGAGAUUGUGCUGUUGUAACACGUUUGGAUAAGGGAUUGUUGCAUACGGAAGAUAAAGUGACUUGGAAACAAAGCAUUAACAAAACAGCAAAGAAAGUAACGCUUUUGCGCUAUAAUAGAAAUAAAUUAAUUACCUUCGUUUUUUAUAUAAUAGACUUGAUGUAUAUUCAAAUAUUGUAAUCUAGUACAAUGUCUGUACACCAAGAUUGAGAAAAUUAAUAAUAUAUAUACCUAUGUAUAAUUAAUUAAUUAUCAUUUAUCAAUAAUAAAACAUCUUACACUGCGAGCUGCAUUCAGAUUGAACAAAUAAGGCGGAUAUUUUCUUUGGAAUUUGUAUUAAAGCAUCUACAAUUUUAGUCUCUAUUUUGGCAGUUCUCAAUCUUAUUAAUAAACAAUAUUUCAACUCAGUAUACGAUUCAGAUAUGGCUUGGACUCACCUUGUUAAGGAGCAUAAUGGGUAUCUUGUUCCCAGUGAUAAAAAAAGAUAUUUGUCAUUAGUAAAAGAAGUUUCUACUCGUUUCAUUUCAUUUGAUUGUGUUUCCGAUAUUUGAAUUACUCUAUUCAGAUCCUAUUUGGUAUUAGAGAGUAAUAAUCGAUAAUUCUCGAAACCAAUUUUUAAAUUAUAUUCCUGCUUUUAGCUCAAAUAUUUCGUAAAUCAUUGUUCAUUCAGCAGACAACUCAGAGACUCACGGGUAUUACAUGCUUUAAAUAUUUGGCAAAACGCGGUUCGACUAAAAAUUGUUAAUACAACAACACCUAAGGAAAGGAAGAGAGCAUACCAAAUAAUCCAUCCGCUAUUGCGACACACGUAGAUUUUGAAGGGUCCUCAUUGUCCAACAUAUAAGCAGUACCAUGGGUUUGAGCCUUUCGGCCCUUAGUCCAUUCAAGAUGGGAGCGCAAAAUAUAGAAAUGGUUUGUGUAUGCUUUUGUAGGAUUUGAAAGUUUCAGAUUGGCAGUUACUGCAAUUUUGUUGGGCAAACUCAGGAAGCUCUGUAAUUCAAAUAUUAGCUUGAUUAAAAUAGUUUUGUAAUAACUUACACAUAUAGCUAGAACUUCGUCCAUACAUCUGAAAUAUGCUGUAAAUAAU